rnacentral:lncRNA from 1 species
AAGAGGUUCCAGAGCCCUUAGGGGACUAGGAGGGUCCAGGAAUCACGGGGUCCUUUGGGUCCUUGCAGGUCAGAUUUGCAUUGGGGGUGCUGUCCUCAACCUCACUCAAUGCAUGGAAGUUGACACAAUGGCUCAACAUUAGCGUUGGGCUGAUUCAUCAUUUGGCUGUUGACACCAGCCUCUGGCCCAGCCAGGACAGAAAAAGGGCCCCUGAGGAACUUCUGGCUCUGUUCCCUCUAUGGGGGAGGGGCAGUGGACUUGUGAUAAGACAGGGUGUUAGGGUGAGGUGGACUUGGGGAAACAGGAUAUUUCUAAAUUAGAGAAACAGAAGGAUUGUGACCCCCGCUGUGACAGACAGGCCCUGAGCCUGCCCGAGGUCCAGGAGGAACUGUAUGUGAGCUUGGGGCUGGGUCUAUACUGAGGCCCCUUGGCGUACUUUUCUCGAUAAGACUGAGGACUUAUGGCCCUCCCACCAUUCCCUCCACCACCUUCGAGAACAGCAACCAUCCCCAAUGCCCACAUCUCCUCUUGGGGUCUCCCCCAGGCAGCAGGUGAGGUCCCCAUGACUUCUCUGUCUUCAAGUCAGGGUCCACAGUCAGCUGUUUGGGGAUCUGCCCCAGCAUGUGGGCCACUGACCAUUGGGUGGGGUCCUGGUCCUUUCCAGAAGGGCAAGCCAUACCCGUCACUUGCC